CGAACGGGUGAGUAACGCGUGAGGAACCUGCCUCAAAGAGGGGGACAACAGUUGGAAACGACUGCUAAUACCGCAUAAGCCCACGGCUCGGCAUCGAGCAGAGGGAAAAGGAGCAAUCCGCUUUGAGAUGGCCUCGCGUCCGAUUAGCUAGUUGGUGGGGUAAUGGCCCACCAAGGCGACGAUCGGUAGCCGGACUGAGAGGUUGAACGGCCACAUUGGGACUGAGACACGGCCCAG
rnacentral:rRNA from 1 species